GCUUGGAAAAAAUCUGUGGGGAAAGAAGACCCUGUUGAGCUUGACUCUAGUCUGGCAGUGUAAGGAGACAUAAGAGGUGUAGCAUAAGUGGGAGAUAUUAAACUUUUUUUAAAAGAUUUUUAUCAACAACUGAAAUACCACUACUCUUAUUGUUUCCUUACUUACUUGAUAAAGUGGAACGUGUAUCAAUUACUUAGCCAUUAAACGGGUAUUAAUUUAAAUUUUUAAAAAAUUUAAAAUUUAAGGGAAUUUGGUUUGGGACAAGCUUUUUGUAAAAAAAACAACGAGUUUGGUAAAUACACCAAACAAAUUUUCAAUGAAUAUUUAAAAAUUAAUUUUUUUAAAUUUUUUAAAAAAUAAUUAAUUGGAUUUGGGAAAACCCCUACACCCUAGUUUGUCCCAUUUCAAGGACAUUGCUAGGUAAAAAGUUUGACUGGGGCCGUACAUCUCUCAAUUAAUAACGGAGGUGUCCCAAGGCCAGCUCAGUGCGGACAGAAACCACACAUAGAGCAAAAGGGCAAAUGCUGACUUGAUCUCGGUAUUCAGUACAUACAGAGACAGCAAAAGCUCGGCCUAUCGAUCCUUUUGGUUUAAAGAGUUUUUAACAAGAGGUGUCAGAAAAGUUACCACAGGGAUAACUGGCUUGUGGCGGCCAGGCGUUCAUAGCGACGUCGCUUUUUGAUCCCUUCGAUGUCGGCUCUUCCUAUCAUUGUGAAGCAAAAUUCACCAAGCGUUGGAUUGUUCACCCAUUCAAGGGAACGUGAGCUGGGUUUAGACCGUCGUGAGACAGGUUAGUUUUACCCUUCUGAUGAUAUUUGUUAUUGCGACAGCAUUUCUGCGUAGUACGAGAGGAACCGCAGGUACGGACCUAUGGCACAAUACUUGUUCGAGCGAACAGUGGUAUGAUGCUACGUCCGUCGGAUUAUGCCUGAACGCCUCUAAGGUCGUAUCCAAGCUGGACGGCAAUGAUAGUAACGGGGCCAUUGUAUUGCGUGGCAAUAAAUCAUUUUAAGUUUUUAAAGUUAUUUUAUAAUUUUAUAAACGAAAAUGCAAUUAUGAAGCCAAUAUAUAAUAAAAAGUUUAAAUGAAUAGUAUUUAAAAGCGUUCAUAAAAACUUUAUUAUAAAUAACUAUUAUAUAAAACGCAAUGUCAAUGCCCAAAAUCAAUUGUAAACGACUUUGGUAACGGGCAAGGUGUUGUAAGUGGUAGAGCAGCU
rnacentral:rRNA from 1 species